UUAUUUCUGGCUGGGUACUCUGCUGACAUAAUCUAAUGUUUUGCUUUCGUUGUAAAGCCUUUUUGAAAUCGGACAGUGUGGUUAGAUUAACGAGAGUCUUGUCUUUAAAAUGGUGUAAAAUAGUCAUAUGUUUGAGAAAUUGAAGUAAUAGCAUUUCUAAGGUAUUUGAAUAACGCUCCACAGGAUUCCACUGGCUGUUACGUAGGUGGGACGAUUUCGUCCCACCUUCCCUAGAGAGGUUUAGCUCACACCAGUGCUGUUUCAUUAUCAAUGAAGGAACCACAUUCGGGGGAUAUGGUGAUAAGCAAUACCAUUAUUUCAUGUAUCAGAGACAUGGGCAAGCUGACAUGUCAUGCUCCAAUGUACAACUAGCAGCCUCGGCGAGUGCCACCACCACUACAACAACCCGAAGAAACCCAAUGUUGACCAUGCCAGAUCUGAAGGAGUUGGAGGAUGUGAGGAGACCGGUGAAACUGCUCAACAUCAGUGACAGUAUACGGACCUUGAAGAGGAUGAUAGUCGAUUUGGAAAAGUCUUGGCCGUCUGCUGGACCUAACCUGAACACACACAUCCUGAUACCACUGUUCAUUACGAUGGCAACUCUGAUCAUGAAUAAUCUACUCAUGUACUGACUUUUUAUGUUGCCUUAUAGUGUGUCUUGUGUAGUGCAAGCAAUAAUUUACCUAUACUCUUGGUAUUGUGUAUUUACCACUGACAUAUAGGAUGCAUGUGAUGCCUUUGGUAUUACAUCGUUUAUUGACAAUAUACCUGCCUGUACAUCUAUUGUGACACUACAAUGAUACCAUAUUAAUCAUGAAUGUAUAAUCAUAACUGUUUAAGGAUAUUCAAUAUACAUUUAAAAGAAACAUCAGAAUAAACAUGUUAAAGACUCAUCA